AAUACCUUAAAAAGUACUAUAGUUAGUUAUUAUUUUAUUAAUUUUUCCAGCGACCGUACUAAAUGGAAAAUGGACAAAAACGGAAUUAGGUAUACGCGGUAUAUAAUAUGCCUUUACGCAAAUAUGGGUAUUCCGAAUAAAAUAUUCUAAAAACUUUUUAUAUAUAAUUAAUACUUAAAAAAAAACACUUUUUUCGUUAGUAUUCCGAAUAGUUUUGAAACAUUUCUUAAAAAUAAAAAUAAAUAUUUUUUGUCACUCUUAUUUUUUAGGGGCGCUUAAUGUUUUACUACAAGAUAGGUGCUUAUUUUUUUCCUCCGAAAUUACUUUUAUGUUCGUUUAGUUGCCACCUACAACAAUGGCAAACCCGAUUUGUUCGUACUUAUUAUAAAUUCUAAAAAAUAAUAUUCCUAAUACUUUUGCAACAUAUUCGGAAUACUAUUGAUUGUAUUUAUUCUAUUUAUACUUUUAAAAAGUAUUUUACCCAAGUCGACCUUUAUAUGGCUGUAUACCUAAUUAUAAUAUGUACAAAAGUGUUUAUCCACCUAUAACAAUAAUGAC